AGGGAGAGGGCAGCUGACCGGGGUGGGGCGGGCGGACGGCGAGAUUUAGGGUGGGUGGGGGGGGGUUGAGGGAAGGUCGGCGGCUGGCCGCGAGUGAGCGUCCCCUCCCCCACGGCCCGGCACUUUUCCAUUCUCCGGCUGCGCCCCGCUUCUGCCCUCGGCCCGCCUGCUCCGCGCCCGGCCCGCUCCCUCCCUCGCCCGCUCGCGCCUCGGUGCGCGCGCCGGCCGGGGCGAGGCGGAGGGGCCCGGCCCAGGCGCCGCCGCCGCCGCCAUCUUGCGGUCCCGCGGGGGCGCCUCCCGGGUGCUGUCCGCGCCGCUGCCCGCGCCUGGCACUUGUCCUUGGCCCCCGAGGGCCGUCGGGCGUUGUCUGGGAGGGUGUGGGUGGGCGGUGACCUUAGAGCGUGCGCUCCAGUCUGCGGCGGGAAGGGGGGCUCUGGGGGUGGCGCAAGUGCGUCGGUCGCCGGCGCCGGCUGUCAGCGGCGGUGGGAGGCGAGAGGCGAGGCAGCGGUGCGGCGGCCCUGGACUCGGUUCCGAGAGAGAACCACCCUUCGGCCUCGAGCAGGGCCUGGGUGGAGCCGGCCCUCGCAGAGGGAGUUGCUGCCUCCCUUUUUACCUUGUUUAGAACUCGCUGUCGGGGGCACCUGGGUGGUUCAGUCGGUUGAGCGUCCAGCCUUCGGCUCAGGUCAUGAUCUCGAGGUUCGUGAGUUCAAGCCCCACAUCCAGACUUGAUUGCUGUUAGCCUGUCAGCGCGAGCCCGCUUCCGAUCCUGUGUCCCCCUCUCUCUGCCCCUCCUCUGCUUGCAUUCUCCCAAAAAUAAGUCAAUAUUAAAAAAUUUUUUUGUUUGAUAUGAUUGUCAAUAUACGAAAGUGCUUUUAUAAUGGUGUAACGAAUUCUACAGUAGCUCUUCUGUUGCAUUGGUUUAAUGAAAAAGAGGUAGGUAUUUUCAAAUUAUGUCGAAACCCUGGCAGUAAUUUGACACAGAAUUCAGGUUUGAAAUUUGAGGUUAACAUAUGAGAGGCUAUUUUUUUUGUCCUUAAAUUUUUUACUAUUAUGAAAUUUCUUCCUUUGUAGUAUACAUUUUGUUUUUCCUACUUACUAGUAGUUUUGGAGAAAAGUUGGAAGAAGGAAAUUUAGAAAAUGCUAAAAUAAAUUGUGAACAUAUUCUUCCUACUAAUAAUCCGAGAAAGGAAAAUAGAGCAAAACCGUUGUGUUGAAGGUGGCCCGUCACAAUAUCAUGCCAAUAAAGAAAAUUAAGCUUUCUGAGGACCCCAGGAACCUGUGGUGUGUCAGCCAGAGCAUCUUUGAGUAGCACGUUACUAAGAAGUACAAAUGAGGAUAGAGAGUACUUUUGCUCUUGGCAGAUACUUGGCACAUUUUUAGGUGUUUCGCAUCAGCUCCUAUUUCACAGUGGCUGCAUCAGAUCCCUGAGGUGAUUUCCCCCCUUUCCUGGGCCACGGAUGACGUCUUACUACUCCAUUCCUUAAAAGCUUUCAAGUAGCUCUUGAUUGCCCACUGGAUAAAAGUCUGAUUUUUUUUUUUUUUUUUAGUGUGGCAUUUAAGCCCUUCCAUUUUGUGCUGUCUUCUCUUGUAACACCUGCUCAUCUGCACACAUCCAUACUUUCUUGCCUGAGAAAGAAAAACCCUCCUCAUAUCCAAGCUUGUUUGUUCUGCUGUUUUUGUUAAGGUAAAAUCCCUCAUGACUCAACGCUUAGACCAUGUUCCCUCAGAUAUUUUCCCUCUCAUGUUUUCAACCACUGGGUUCUUCUUUUAAACAUAUAAAUACACUUAAUUUUUUCAUUUUAAAAAGAAGCAAACAAAAUAUUUCUUUGACUCCCAAGUCCUUCUGGUACAUGUCCCUCCCUGUCCCUCAUUUCCUUUGCAGUCAAACUUCUUGGAAAAAUAGUCCAUGUUCAUUCACUAUCUGUCCUGUAUCUCACCUCCUGUUCACUGUAGUACUACUCUCUCCUCACUGCUUAUUGAUUGCCGACCACAUUGAUCAUUUCCAAUUUUUAUCUCUCUUUGGCACUUGACAUUGUCGGCAUUUCCACUUUUUAAACAAUUGUUUUCACUUCCAUAUACUUCUAAUUUUCUAAUUUGCUCCCUUUAUUGUCUCAUUUGUGGGCUUUUUAAAUGCUAAUGUUUCUGAGGUUCUGAUUUGUUUGUUUUAUCUCUAAACUUUCCUUGUUCAGUCUCAUUGUUUUGAUGGCUUCUCUUUCUUUUCCUUGCUCUCUUUGCACAUGUUGGUACACACUCAAAUUUGUAUUUUUUUUUUAAUGUUUAUUUGUUUAAUUUUGAGAGAGAGAGCGCACAAGCCAGGAAAAUGGCAGAGAGAGAGAAGGAGGCAGAGAAUCCAAAGCAGGCUCUAGGCCUGAGCUGUCAGCACAGAAGCCAGACAGGGGGCUCGAACUCAUGAACCCUGAGAUCAUGACCUGAGCUGAAGUUGGGUGCUUAACCGACUGAGCCACCCAGGUGUCCCUCAAAUUUGUAUUUUAAUUGGGACAUUGUUGUCAGUUUUAGAAUUACUUAGUGACUAUCUGGAUUUGAGUUGUAACUCAGACACUUCAAACUCAGCAUAUCCCAAACAGGUGUUUUUUUUUUUUGUUUGUUUUUUACAACCCAAGCCCGUGCGUCUUCCCAUCUUUUUAAUAUUUUGGUGGCAUCGUGAUUACUCAUACAGAAAUACUCUGUAUGUCUACUAAUUAAAAUCUGUAUUUCUGCAUCCCAGGGAUAAUUCUUGAAUCUGUACCCUUUAAUGAAGCUUUAUUUUUAAAUUUACUUAUUUUAAUUUGUUUAUACAAUAAAGAUUUGACUUUCUGCUCUAUGUAGUAAGUGUUGAAUAAGUGUUAGAAUUACAGUUUGAGUAAAAUACAAUCUUUGUUUUCAUGAGGCAGUUGUAAUGGGAGAGAUAGACACUAACUGCCUAAUUAGAAGAAGGAAAUGUAACUAUGAAGAGGAGUGUAGUGCUAUCAAAAUGUAAAAAAUGGGGGCGCGUGGGUGGCUCAGCCAGUUAAGCGUCUGCCUUCGGCUCAGGUCAUGAUCUCACAAUUCAUGGGUUCGAGCCCUGCACUGGGCUCUAUGCUGACAGCUCAGAGCUUGGAGCCUGCUUUGGAUUCUGUGUCUCCAUCUCUCUCUGCCCCUCCCCUGCUUGCGCGCUGUCUCUCUCUCUCAAAAGUGAAUAAACAUUAAAAAAAAAAAAAUUAAAAAAAAGAAAUAUCUUCCUGGUCAGGGAAGACACAAUUGGAUUAAGAUUUUCUAAUAUGAGUAGAAGCUAUUAACCUAGGUGAAAAAGAAAGAAAAAUACAGUGGAAGCAACAUGUGUUUACAAAGAUCCUGUGGCAGGAGGGAACAUGAAGCGUUUACUGUUACUUAACCUGUUAAAGUAAUAUCUCAUGUUAUUUACAAGCCUGAGUCAGUGUAACAGUAGUGGAGACAGCCAAGGUGAGUGUGGUGCUGGUUUGUAGGUUGACUAAAGAGUUUUGUUUUUAUCCUAGCCCACUGAGAGAUUUAAGUGGGUGGAAUGGUAGAAAUAGAGGGAAUGGAGUGAUAAUCACAUUUGUAUUUAAAAAAAGCCAUAAUUCUGGGGGCGCCUGGGUGGGUCAGUUGGUUAAAUGUCCAUGGUUUAGGCUCAGGUCAUGAUCUCACAGUUUCAUGGGUUCCAUGCUGACAGUGCUGAGCCUGCUGGGGAUUCUCUGUCUUCUCUCUCUGUUCCUCCCCCAUUCACACGGUCUCUGCUUCUCUCUAAAUAAAUAAAUACAUACAUACAUACAUACAUACAUACUUGUGGUAACGUAAAGUAGUAUUAGAAGGGAGAUAGAGAUGAAUUAGUUUCCUCAGUCCAGGCAAGAGGUGACUACUUGAUUUGAGGGACUGGUAUUAGAGAUGGUGAAAAGUUCAGGAGGAUCAAGCCAGUGAAACUUGGUCUAUUAGAUAUGCUCACAGAGAGUACAGGUAUCUUGGCCGUCUCUGAGAUUCCUCGCUUAUGUAACUGGAGGAAUGGUGGUGCUGUGUGCUGAGCUAAAAAAGGAAACACUGGAGGGGCGCCUGGGUGGCUCAGUCGGUUAAGGGUCUGACUUUGGCCCAGGUCAUGAUCUCACAGUCCAUGAGUUCGAACCCCACGUUGGGCUCUGUGCCAACAGGUCAGAGCCUGGAGCCUGCUUCAGAUUCUGUGUCUCCCCUCUCUCUCCCUCUGCCCCUUCCCUGCUCACGAUCUGUCUCUCUCAAAAAUAUUUUAAAAAAAUUAAAAAAAAAGAAACCGUGGAUAUUUGAAUGAGGACCAUGUGCAUUUUACUUGGGGUUGUGGGAGAGUGGUAGGAUGAGGAUCCUCAUCUCAUUAGGUAUGUUAGAUGUGUUUAGGACCCUCCAAGAUAUUAAUGAAAAGGUAACUGGUAGGUUUUGGUUAUAUGGAUGUGUUUUUCAGGGAGAAGUCUGGGCUUUGGGGAAUUAUUUAUUUCAGGUGAUUAUCUCUUGUCUUUUCUCUACUAGUCUGUAAACAGACCUGCUUUUCUCUAGUGUCUCUCUCUUUAGCCACACUGCUGCUAGAACUACCCUUUGCAAAAUGCAAACCUCAUAUUCUUGCUCCCUUGGUUAAUAAAGAACCUGGCAUAUUUUCCCAUUAUGUAGAUGAAAAAGUCCAGAAUCCACUGCCUGCCACCCCAUUUCUCUUCUACACAUAGCUUUAGGUUAUAUGAAACCAUUUUCCCAAACACUUUAAGCUGUUGCAAGACUUUGCACAUGCUCUGUCCGGAAUAUUAUUCUCCCUCAUAUCUGACAAGGAGUCUCCAAGAAUCUCUUCCUUUUGUGAAGUCUUGGAUUCUUGCAGUCCAAGUUGGUCACUGCUUUCUUCAGGCCACUAUUGAAGCCUGUGCUUAUCUGUGAUAAUCAGCACUUACAUACCACAUAACACAGUAUUUAUAUUUACGUAUUUUUUCUCUCCCAAACUUUAGGUUAACUACUUGAGGAUAUAUUUAUUUCUUUUAUUUUUACAUCCAUGGUAACAGGAUCUGGCAUGGGUGAUUGCCCAAUAAAGUUGAUGUAUGGAUAGGACUCCAGUGGUUUCUCCUAUAAUUCCCAUGUUUUUCGUCUUGGAUCUUUUUUCUGUAGGGUUUUUCAUCUGCCUUUGCAGGUAGUUGUGGUUUUAAAAUUUUUUAGUUUCGGGAAAGGGAUAAUAGGGUAUUUUGUUAAAAGCUGACUAACCAUAGAUUUUUUUUUCUUUUUUGUGCUUCACCUUUUUCAUUUGUGGAGUGACAGGCAGGAUUAGGUGAUUUCCUGGGUGUUCUGGCCCUAAGGAUUUUGAAUAUGUGUGACAUCUGAGAACAAAAAGAAAACACGAUUUUUCAGUAAAGUAGACAAAUAAUAUACAGUAAAACAUUGGUUUGUGAGCAUAAUUUGUUCCGGAAACCUGCUGUAAUUCAAAGCUCUCGUAUAUCAAAGCAAAUUUAACCAUUGGCUCAGUUGUGAUCAUGUGAUGUUCGGCAUCAUGUACUACUCGUAUCGCAAUAUAUCACUCAUUUAUCAAGUUGAAAUUUAUUGAAAAUGUUUGCUUGUCUUGCGGAACACUUGCAGACCAAGUUACCCACAAUCCAGGGUUUUAUAGUGUAAGGAAUUGGGAAAACUUGAGUUAUACUUCAGAGUUUAAUAUUUUCUGAUUGUCAGUAUUGGUAAUUUUCUUAUUGGUUUACUGCAUUAGUUACCUUUUAUUAAUUUUAUAUUUUAGACUGAAAGCGAGCAGGGGAGGGGUAAAGGGAGAGAGAGAGAGAGAAUCUUCAAGCAGGCUCCACAUCCAGUACAGAGGCCCAGUGUGGAACCUGUGGGGCUUGAUCUCACUACAUUCAGAUCAUGACCUGAGCUGAAAUCUAGUCAGAUGCAUAAUGGACUGAGCCACCCAGGUGCCCCUGUAUUAGUUACCUUUUAAUUUCCUUUAAGUAAGUCCAUCCUUUACCAUGCAGAGAUGUUCUGUGAAGAGAGUUUAGUAAGCACCCUUUUAUUUUUUUAGACGCACUUCCUGAUCUUUUUCUUGUGCUUUUGUAUCUUAACCUGGAUAGAUUCAUUGAAGUCUUAUCUGCCUUUCAGAGGAGAAAGUGGUUAAUACAGGAUGGAUCCUCAACCUUAAAAAGUUGUUUUAGAAGAAAAUUAAAUGUAAGAAGGGAGCUAUUGUAUGCAAAUCCUUGUUUAUUAUAACUGAAAUGGGACACAGAUUACUAGAUAAAAAGUUUAAAACUUCUUAUGAAAGCUUUCAAACAUUCGUAAAAGCAUAAUGAACUUUUAUAUACUUAAAUUUCAUAUACUUAAGUUUAAUGAUUAUUAGCAUUUUAUAUUUGUUUAGUUUUUGUUUGCUGUGUAUUUUUUUUUUUUAAUGUUUAUUUUCGAGAGAGAGGGAGAGAGAGACAAAUCGUGAGUGGCAGAGGGACAGAGAGAGGGAGACAUAGGAUCCAAAGCAGGCUCCAGGCUCUGAGGUGUCAGCACAGAGCCCUAGGUGGGGCUCGAACUCACGAACUGUGAGAUCAUUACCUGAGCCGAAGUUGGACGCUUAACCUACUGAGCCAUCCAGGCGCCCCAGCUGCUGUAUAGAUUCUGGAUAACGACAUUUCAAACCGAAAUACUUGAGUUUGCUUUUCUAAUAAACAGACAUUUUCUUUACAUAGUUGUGAUGUCAUUAUCUUAAAACCAAAAAUAAUUAUUUAACAUCAUCUAAUAUUUAACCUGUUGAAGAUUUCCCCAAUUGUAUGUACUUCUGUUUUUUAUUUUUUAAAGUUUAUUUAUUUUGAGAGAGAGAAAGCGAGCAGGGUACGGACAGAAAGAGGGAGAGAAAGAGAAUCCUAAGCAGGCUCUGCACUGUCAAUGUAUAGUCUGAAGUAGGCUCAAACUCAGGAAUGGUGAGAUCAUGACCUCAGCUGAUGCUUAAGUGUCUGAGCCACCCGGUCUCCCUUGUAUGUCUGUUUUUUAGCUGGUUUGUUCAGCUUACGCAUUGCAUUUGUUUGUCGUGUAUCCGAGUCUUAAUUUUAAACACUGCUUCCCCCACUUUUUUUUUUUUUUUUAAUCAUACUCUUGUUGAGAAGAUCAGGUGGUUGAAUUGUCAAAUAGUCUAGGUAUGUGUGGGAUGUCUUUCCUGUAAAUUUGGAUUUAGAUUUGAGGGCUUGAUUAGAUUUAGGUCAGUAUUUGGUGGUAAAAAUAAUUCAUGGAUGGAAUUGUGUCACAUCAGGGAUAGACAGUGUCUGGUUUUCCCAGUUUUAGUGAUGUUGAUUGGUGGUAACAGCCUUACUUCCACAUUAAAAAGUUGCAUAAAUAUGAGCCUGUUUAUGGUAAUAUGUGCAAGAAAAAAGAUUGGAAAGAAAAUAUUAACAAGUCAUUGGCUCUACUUUAGGAUGUGAGUGUCUUUUGUAUUUUUACUUUUCUGUUUUCCAGGACUUCUACAGUGAACUCUUUUUUUAUACAGUGAACUCUUUUUUUUAUAAGAGAGAAAAACUUAAAAUUGUUUUGUUACUAGAUAGCUUCGGAAGAUGAGAUCAGAAGGUUUUCAUUUGUCCCUCCUGUAUUGUUUUGUUUAAUUUUUAAUUAAUAUUUUAAGUGUUAACAGUCUGAGGUCUUAAUUUUUUUUAAUAAUAGGGCAAGUUAUAGAAAGAUAAAUAGAAAACAAGUCCAAUGUUUGCAACCUUCCAGUAACAGAUCACAAAUCAAGGUAUAUAAAGACAAAUAGAAAACCAUGAUUAUCUCAAAGUAGAUCUUAUUUAUAUAUCUAAAUCUAAUUUGUAAAUCAUAACUAUAUAAAUGUGUCGUUUCUUUGAGCUCUUGCUAUUGGCAUCAAUUGAUGGUCUCUUGUAAGAAGUAUGACAAGUUUGUUUGGGGGUGUUUACUUCUCUGAGAAUGGCUUCUGUUUAUAGAUUCUGUUAAAGAGCCAGGUGGCUCUAAGCAGCAGAUAGAUUUUUAGGAUCCCUCUUCCCCCAGUGUUGAUUGUUUCAUGGUGAGCACCUAACCCAGGGCCAGCCAAUACAUAUGCUGAUGACUGAUUAGUCAAAAUUUUGAUGCCGCCCCUUUAAACACACUUAGUUUAGAUGCUAGGCUUUAGGUCUUUAAAGCAGGCUGAUUUGUGCCACGUUUAAGCAGAAGCAACUCCGUUGAGAGAGAAGAGGGAGAGAAAAGCAGGCCAGAGAUCUUGAAGUCCCAGGAACCAGUUUCUCUUGAAUGCAGCCUCUUCUUUUGAGGCCAGCUAUACUUCAUUUCCUGUGUCCUAGAGACUCUUUGUAUCUUUACAAUAAACUCUUAAGUGUGAUUUUUGUUCUUCAUAAUAAAUUCAUUGAUUAAACAAGAUUGGACUUCAUAAUUUGUGAAAAUAUGUUCAACUUAAUGAUUGUCCACAUACUUCACUUUGUGAAAAUAAUCUAAAACCAGUGUCUUAAAUUUUUAUGGGAAAAAGAUUCACAUAGAUGUUUUUGAAGACUUGUCAUUGAUAUGACAUAGUUUGCCUGGUUGCUUUUCACUGGCAUUUGGAAUGUUCUUAUAACUAGAGUAAUCGUGAACAUUUUGUACUGUUUUCAAAAUUCAGGUUUAAAUGAAUUAGUGUAGUUAAUGUGUAUUUUAGCUUUUUAAGGGUGUGAUUAAAUUCAGUUACCAUUUUUACAAAUAGAUAUUAACUAAAAAAGAAUUAACAUGAGAGUACUUUAAAAUACUUAGCUUGCAAUACAAUUUGUUAGGUUUCUUAUGGGCCUGCAUUUUUACAGCUUUUAUUUUGUAGCUCUGUGCUUCCAUACAUAUCCGUGUACAUACAUAUAUCCAUUUAUAUAUAUAUUUACUUUAGUACUUGGAGAAUCUGACAUGAAUUGGAGUGACUACCAUACUUUUAAAGGUAUAGGGUAUCUUUGUUUCCUGUUUAGUUUUCUCUAUUAAAAAAAUUACCUUUAUAACUUACCAGGGAAGAUGAAUCACUUGGUCUUGUUUGCUGAGUACUUUUCCCACUGCCAAAAACUUCAAUAACAGUGAAAUCCUCAGAUGUGUUUUUCUGAAUCUUUUCAGUUUUCCUCCAGCACGUUACAAAUAAAAGAUUUCAUGAACAAAUGAAACUAAUAUGUGUACAUGUUUAAAAGUCCCAUCUGAUUAUAAAAUAAGUGCUUAAUGUAGAGAAUUGAAAAAGGAUGGAAAAGUGUAAAGCAAAUAAAAAUUACUCAAUCUUACCACCUAGAAAUAAUCUCUGUUAACAUUUGAUAUAUUUCUUUUUAUAUAUUUUGUGUGUAUAAUUCUGCAUACUUAUAUUCUGUAUUUUUGUUAAUACUACCAUUUCUCAUAGUACAGAUAUUUUCAAGAAUUUUAGAUCUGUAAAUGGUGCUAAAAACAUUUAUUUUAAUUUCUCUCCAAAUAUGCAUUUUCCUUUUAUUUCCUACCAUCUUACUUAUCUAGACUUUAAAAACUUUUCUAAACUCUUCAGAUAGGGAGCACUUCUAUUUUAAUAAAGAUGUUAAAUUAAGUAGCGUGCAUCCUUUAUGUUUGGCUGUGAAUAGAAAUGUUCUCUUUCAAAUAAUUUUUUAGGUGUGUGUGCAUCUUUUCUUUAGUAGAUGGUUACACAGUGGAAGGACAUAAUUUGUAUAAAGUUACAAAUCAGAAGGAUACUUCAUUUCUGUGAAAAGAUAAUUUAUUGUUUAUGCUCUCUUUCCUGUUUUCAAGACACUGGGAUUGUUAAAGUCAGAGUGAACAGCCUAUGCAUCAAAAGGUCUGAAAAAACACUUCUAAAAUGUUUACAAUAACUUUAUGCAAAAUGUUAAUAAGGCUGUGAGAAUUUAGGAUUGAAUUAUCUGCCAUUUUACCAUGGAGUAGAAGAUAGGCAGUAGGUGAAGUUGAUCAUAAUGUCACUUUAUUUUUUUUUUAGUUUUUAAUUUUGAGAGAGAGAGAGUGCAUGAGCAGGGGAGGGGCAGAGAGAGUGGGAGACACAGAACCCGAAGCGGGCUCCAGGCUCUGAGCUGUCAGAGCCUGAUGCAGGGCUUGAACUCAUGAACCGUGAGAUCAUGAUCUGAGCCGAAGUCGGAUGCUAACCAACUGAGCCACCCUGGCGCCCCCGUAAUGUUACAUAAUUUUAAAGCCCAGAGGAGCCUUGGAAGGUCAUUCUGUCUACUAAUGACCCCUGUCUACUGCAGGGGUUAGACUGUCCUGGAGAAGUCAAGUGAUUUGGUCGGGGUCAAUCACCUGGUUAAUAGUUUUAGCUCUAAAGCCUCAAAACCAGUGUACUGUGUUACAGUUUUUAUGAAAGUCAUAGUACACCAUUGAUGACAGGAGCUAGCCCCUCCCUCUCCAAAAGGCUUCCAAAGGAACAAAGAAAAUAGAUGUUUUGACUUUUUACUUAGGUGCUUUUCCAUGUGAAGGUAAUGAGUGAGUAUUUAACUGUGUGAUCAGAACACUACUACAUUAUUUGAAAGUGGUAGAGGAGAAAUAAGACAUGGUUCCUGCUUAUUGAUGAAUUCUUUUAACUAUGAUUUUAAGACCCUAGAAUGGGAAAAUUGAUUUUUUCUUUUUGAAUGGCUACACACUUCUGUACUCAGUGUAUUUUGGAGAUUUUUUUGUGAUGCACUCUCAUCAUGUAUUCAUGAUACAUUAUUAAUGUCAGGAUCCAUAUUUUUAUAAUUAAUGUUAGUGAAACUUUAUAACAAAAUAUGUUUAGUGUUUUUAAAACCUUCUUGAAUAGCAUUGACUCAUUUUGUUUUCCAGAAAGUAGUACUCUGUUUAUUUGGACAAAAAUAUUUGUACAAUAUAGUAUUUAUUCACUACCCUCUAUGCCAGGGAUUUUUACAGCUGCUGGGAAUAUGGUAGAGAACAGAACAAAGACCCAGUCUUUGUGGACCCCACAUUCAAGUCUGAGAUUUCAAUGUGUUUGAAAAAAAAUAUAGAAAAUGAAAUAAAUUAAGGUGACUUCAUUUUUAAAAAUUCUAAAGAAAAUGUUAUAGGGCUUUCUUGGAUGUAAAACACAGGAUAUUUUCUCAGUGUUUAUGAUACUUCAGGAAAUACUCAGUUGUUGACCUGUAUAUGGGACCAAGGGAAAUAUAUCCAUUUAAAAAUCAUUAUCAUAUAUUAAUGAUUUGACUGCAGUUUCAUGCUUUAUUGCUGCAGAAAUCUGCCUGGAAUGCUUAUUAUGAAUUAGGAAGCGAUUGUAGCUAGGUAGUUUGCAUAAAAUACAUAUAGAAUUUAUGAGAGUUCAGGCUCUGGAGUCAGACCAGGUUUGACGAUCAACUUCCACUGCUUUGUAGUUUAUGACAGGUGUUUUAACUUGUUGCAGGCAAGUUAUCUGUAAAAUGGGGAUAAUAAAGUGUCUUGUUAAAGCCUAUGAGGGACAUAAUUCAUGCAAAGUUCUUGAUACAGGGUGAAGGCUCAAUAAAGGCUAGCUGUUAUAAAAAUUUUUUUGUUGUUAACACUAUUUUUACUGUUACUACUGCCAUGCUACUAUUACUGUGCGAAUUCUUAAUUGAUAUUCUGUAUACUAUACUGUAUCUACUUCACAUACAUAAUUUAGUAUGACAGGUAUUCAGUGUCAUCUUCAUGUAACUGGAAAACUGUUUAAUCAGUGAUAUAGCUAUUAAUUUGCUAAAACCUGUGGAAACAUUGAAUAAAGUGUAGUCAUCACCUGCUUUGCUGCAGCAGAAUUAUUUAUGUGUUUGAGCUGAGCAUCCAGCUUUCCUUAUUAGAAUUUUUACCGAUUCUGUUUCAAUAAAGGAAGGAUGAAGGAGUAAAAAUGUAAUGGUCAACAUAAAUGACUUAUGAAGACCUAGAGUCAUAGCAUUUGAAACAGAACAUACAUAUUUCUGACAUUUUUGUCAUUGUUGUAUGUUGAUGAAAAAGAAUUCAUGUGACUGUCCCAACGAUACUUCCAGUGUGUAUUUACUUAACAAAUAAUAUUGAACAGCUACUAUGACUUAAGGUCUGUGUUAAUUACUUCAGUUCAUUCAAGGAGGAAGUGAAUGUUUCUUUUUAGGGGAGCUUGUAGUUUUGUUGGAUAAGACAUAUAUAAAAAAGUAAGUGAGAAGUGCCAUUGAGAGGUAUAGACUAUGUAUUGUGUGAAUUGUAUGGUCAGUCAUAUUUCUCCUCCAAGAUUCAUGCUUUGGUUCAUUGCACUGUCUGUUUUUAAUCAUACAGAGGCUGCUAACUGAGUCUGUUCCUUAUAGCCAAGAACUCAGAAAGAUCUUGUCAAGAACUAAAGGGUCUAAAAAUUGAGUGUACUACAAUUUUAUGAAUAUUGGUAGAAAAGAUAUAUGUGAUCCCCGGGUUUAGAGACAAAGGACUUUAUUCUUCAUGACACUACAUACAGCACGAGCUUUAUAUUUGUGUUAAUUUCCUUUGCCUCCUCAAAGGGCAACACACAGGGGUUCAGUUUAGGCAGAUGCUGUUCCCAUAGUGGUUCUGUGUCAUAGCUGAGACUGUCCCUUGAGCGCAGGGAGCCUGAAUCUUUCCUGAUGGGCUACAUGGAAACUUACCUGACCUUUUUUCUUAGAGGAAGACCUAUUUUACUAGCCAGUAAGCAAACCUGUUCUCUCCUUAGGAAGGAGACAUUGUUUUCCAAGACUGUUCACUAUUUAAAGACAUCCUUGAGAAGAUAGUCUGGAUGAAAGCCCCAGGGCCUCCUAUUGGCAAAACAUGUAGAAAUGCUAGAGGCCAGUAGAGACUUCUCUCCUAAUAGGCCUCUGAGUAGGUCAUCUAAGUGGAAGUCACACAAUAAAUUUCAUAUAUUGGGAAAAAAAAAUAAAUGGAAGUCACAGAGUUCAUGAAUUAAUGUUCAUGUAUGUUGCCUGCUUAUUUUAAGCUUCAUCUCAGAGGCAUUUCUUUCCUUUUUCUUCUCUCUCUCUUUUUUAAUGCUUUUAUUUAUUUUUGAGAGAGGCUGGGAGGGAGGGAGGGAGGGAGAGGGCAUGAGCAGGGGAGGGGCAGAGAGAAGGAGACAACAGAAUCUGAAGCAGGCUUCAGGCUCUGAGCUGUCAGCACAGAGCCUGAUGCGGGGCUUGAACUCGUGAACUGCAAGAUCAUGGCCUGAGCUGAGUUGGAUGCUUAACCAACUGAGCCACCCAGGUGCCCCUCAGAGGCCUUUUCUGUUUCUAAAAUGCUCUAUGCUCUGUACUACUGCUUAUCAUGAAUUAAAAUUUGAUUCUUUUCAGAGUAAGCAAAUAGUGAACUCAAAUUGAUACGCAUAUUGAGGUGUUUAGUAGAAGUGAGUGUACUGAUGUCUUCAGCUUAUUUUGAAAUGCAUUAAAAAUAAGAUGGAUGGGCAGAGAGAUGAAAUAGAUAAGUCUUAAAGUAAAUACAGCAAAAUGUUAAUUGUAGAAUCUAGGCAAUGGAUAUAUGAUUGUUUACAAUGAUUUCAAUUUCUUUGUAUGAAAAUUUUCAAUACAAUGUUGGGGAAAAAGCCAACUGUUCUCUU